rnacentral:rRNA from 1 species
UACGGGGGAGCAAGCGUUGUUCGGAUUUACUGGGCGUAAAGGGCGCGUAGGCGGCCAGCACAAGUCAGUUGUGAAAUCUCCGAGCUUAACUCGGAAAGGUCAACUGAUACUGUGCGGCUAGAGUGCGGAAGGGGCAACUGGAAUUCUUGGUGUAGCGGUGAAAUGCGUAGAUAUCAAGAGGAACACCUGAGGCGAAGGCGGGUUGCUAGGCUACACUGACGCUAAGGCGCGAAAGCGUGGGGAGCGAACAGG